rnacentral:rRNA from 1 species
CUGGCUCAGGAUGAACGCUAGCUACAGGCUUAACACAUGCAAGUCGAGGGGCAGCAUUGGAGUAGCAAUACUCAGAUGGCGACCGGCGCACGGGUGAGUAACACGUAUCCAACCUGCCGCUUACUCGGGGAUAGCCUUUCGAAAGAAAGAUUAAUACCCGAUGGUAUAAAGAGUUCGCAUGUUCUCUUUAUUAAAGAAUUUCGGUAAGCGAUGGGGAUGCGUUCCAUUAGAUUGUUGGCGGGGUAACGGCCCACCAAGUCUACGAUGGAUAGGGGUUCUGAGAGGAAGGUCCCCCACAUUGGAACUGAGACACGGUCCAAACUCCUACGGGAGGCAGCAGUGAGGAAUAUUGGUCAAUGGACGAGAGUCUGAACCAGCCAAAAGUAGCGUGAAGGAUGACUGCCCUAUGGGUUGUAAACUUCUUUUAUAAGGGAAUAAAGUGAGGGACGUGUCCCUUUUUGUAUGUACCUUAUGAAUAAGGAUCGGCUAACUCCGUGCCAGCCGCCGC